rnacentral:rRNA from 1 species
AUUGAACGCUGGCGGCAGGCCUAACACAUGCAAGUCGAGCGGAGCGGCGGACGGGUGAGAAAUGCCUAGGAAUCUGCCUGGUAGUGGGGGAUAACGUACGGAAACGGGCGCUAAUACCGCAUACUAUCAGAAGAGCCUAGGGCGGAUUAGGUAGUUGGUGGGGGAAAGGCCUACAAAGGCGACGAUCCGUAACUGGUGCGAGAGGAUGAUCAGGCACACGGGAACUGAGACACGGUCCAGACUCCGACGGGAGGCAGCAGGGGGGAAUAUUGGACAAUGGGCGAAAGCCUGAUCCAGCCAUGCCGCGUGUGUGAAGAAGGUCUUCGGAUUGUAAAGCACUUUAAGUUGGGAGGCGUUACCAACAGAAUAAGCACCGGCUAACUUCGUGCCAGCAGCCGCGGUAAUAC